GGCUAAUGAGCUUGAUAAGCAUUUGUUUUGAAAACAUAAGAUAGAAAUUAAAAUUUUCUAUUAGCUU
rnacentral:tRNA from 1 species